rnacentral:rRNA from 1 species
AUGCAUGUAAAUCGAACGGGAAGGCCCUUCGGGGUACUCCAGCGGCGAACGGGUGAGUAACACGUGAGUAACCUACCUCCAACUCUGGGAUAAGCCUGGGAAACUGGGUCUAAUACCGGAUUUCAUCUCCUGCUGCAUGGGGGGGGAUGGAAAGUGUUUAGCGGUUCGGGAUGGGCUCGCGGCCUAUCAUCUUGUUGGUGAGGUAAUGGCUUACCAGGGCUUUUACGGGUACCCGGCCUGAGGGGGCGACCGGCCACACUGGGACUGAUAUACGGCCCACACUCCUACGGGAGGCAGCAGUGGGGAAUAUUGCGCAGUGGGCGGAACCCUGACACAACAACCCCGUGUGAGGGAUGACCGCCUUCGGGUUGUAAACCUCUUUCACCAGGGACGAAUCUUUUGUGACGGUACCUGGGGAAGAAGCGCCGGCCAACUACGUGCCAACAGCCGCGGUCACACGUAGGGCGCGAGCGUUGUCCGGAAUUAUUGGGCGUAAGGGUCUCAUACGCUGUUUGUCGCCUCAAAAGUGAAUAUCCGGGGCUCAUCUCGAGACUUGCUUUCUAUACGGGCGGAUAGAUGGUACACAGGAGAGAAUAAACUCCGUUGUAUAGCUGGAGAAUGCACAGAUCUCAAGAAGCACACCGGUGGAGAGGGCUGUUCUGUGCGCUUUACGUGACGGUGAAGAGCGAGAGUGUGGAGAGAGCACAAGUUUAUAUACCCGUGGUUGUACACGCUGUAAAUUUGGGGCGAUAUGUGUGAGUGUCUUGUGUGAUGUCCGUGCUAUAGAUCACGCAUUGAGCCCCCCGCGUGGAGAGUACUGUCGCAAGAAUAAAACUCAAAGGAAUUGACGGGGGCCCGCACAAGCGGGAGAGCAUGUUGUUUAAUUAGAGGCAACGAGAAGCACCUCACCUGUGUUUGACAUGUGGGUUUAUCCGGCAGAGAUGUCGUGUCCUUUUGGGAACUCACGCAGGUGGCGCAUGGGUGUUGUCAGCUUGUGUUGUGAGAUGUUGGGUUAAGUCCCGCAAAGAGCGCCACCCUUCUCAUAUGUCCCCAGCACGUUAUGGGGGGGACUUAUAGGAGACCGCGGGGGUCAACUGGGAGGAAGGGGGGGAAGAUGUCAAGUUUUCAUGCCCCAUGUCUCCAGGGGUGCAAACAUGCUACAAUGGUCGGUACAAUGGGCUGCGAGACCGUGAGGUGGAGAUAAUCCAUAAAAGCCGGCAUCAGUUAGGAUGGGGGUCAGCUACUCGCCCCCGUGAAGUUGGAGUCGUUAGUAAUGAUGGAUAAGCAACGCCGCGGUGAAUACGUUCCCGGGCCACGUACACACCGC